rnacentral:lncRNA from 1 species
UUGGAUGCCAAUUAUAGUGCGUUGAUGCCCUUUAAAUCAAAAAGUAAAAAAAGUUAAAACAAGUGGUAGGAAGGUUCCACAUGGUCAACAUGACUCAAGAACAGGAAGGGUGUUAUGAAGUUACUUGCAUAUAGGUGGACCCAUCUGGUAGCUGAAACAGUGGUAGCUAGUUUCAUCCAGUUUGGGGAGGAAGGUGUAAAAAGAGGGGAGGGAGGUGUGAAUACGAUAAUAUACAAGGCUGGUUGUGAGAUGUAUGUAUGGUAGCUAGUUUCACACAGCCAGCGGGCCUUCCAGUUCAGUCCAAUUGCUGCAGCGAUUUGGCACCCCUAUCUUUUUAUUUCAAGGGACAAAUUCAAGUCGGAUGCUUCAAGGAACAAGUCUAAUUUGGAGGGUUUGGAGCUUGACGGUAAAGUGGUUCUGGUUCCUUGAGGUGUGUUUCUGACGCGGA